UCCCUCCCCUUCUACUACUAACUUCGUCACCGACGUAGGGUUCAUCAAAUCGACCAUCUUAAAUGGCUAAACAACAGCCAACUCUUUCGAAAUGGCGGGGUUGCGCUCGUUAGUGAUGCAAAACGGUGACUACGAAGGCUGCCAGCCAGCCAGGCCAGUAUUGUUUCUAUCGUUGACCGGAACCGACGGCCUUGCAGUGUUGUGUGGUGCUAGGCUAGGUUUUGGAGCGUAGUUAUACCGCCAAUCGAAUGUGCGAGACACCCAUGGGGAAGACCGUGACCAGAGAGCAGGAGCUGUGACGAGGGUCAAAAGAUCCAUAAAUGGAGCAGCAAGAAGAUGGGGAAUUACAUAAGACGUCAUCAUGUUGUGGUUGGCGAGGCUGGUAAGAUGGGGUUUUAUUUUCCCAGGUUCCGUUCUCCAGCUCUUAUCCAACCUGCCCAGCCACGUGUGCCACCACCCAGCAACGAAACCCGGUCGCCUUCCCAUUUCGACCACAAGAAGCAUUACGUCAGCAACGGAACCGAUGACGUAUUUGGAACUUUUAUCGUACUCUUUUCCGGGGCAUUUUACCUUUCCGAUGGAUCCAACCCGCUGCAUUUUCUUCCUGCACUACAUUCGCACACUAAAGCGAACAGGAAGUACGAGUUGGCAGAAAAAGAAAUGCCCAAAUUGAUAGCGCAGUGCAAUAUUAUCGCGUUCAGCUAAAUAUAAAGCUGACACGAGCUUUGGGACAUUUAGGCAAAGCGACACCGUGCCGGUUGUGAUCGUGUUGUCAACUGCUUUGGGGUCGCCACCAAACGACGCAAAGGUAUGCACAAUUGCACACGCCGAAUAGCACACCCGCCCGAAACGAUGACGCUGGCAGGUUUACCUUGGAGCGUGGAAAUACCGUGUAUACCGAUGGCCCCGUUUUUCCGACGACAACAGUUUAAUGUUUCGUAAUUAUGAAGGGCGCGAGUGGCGAACAAAAAAAAAA